rnacentral:rRNA from 1 species
UGCUCCUUGGGUGACGAGUGGCGGACGGGUGAGUAAUGUCUGGGGAUCUGCCCGAUGGAGGGGGAUAACUACUGGAAACGGUAGCUAAUACCGCAUAACGUCGCAAGACCAAAGUGGGGGACCUUCGGGCCUCACACCAUCGGAUGAACCCAGAUGGGAUUAGCUAGUAGGUGGGGUAAUGGCUCACCUAGGCGACGAUCCCUAGCUGGUCUGAGAGGAUGACCAGCCACACUGGAACUGAGACACGGUCCAGACUCCUACGGGAGGCAGCAGUGGGGAAUAUUGCACAAUGGGCGCAAGCCUGAUGCAGCCAUGCCGCGUGUAUGAAGAAGGCCUUCGGGUUGUAAAGUACUUUCAGCGGGGAGGAAGGGAUGAUGUUUAAUACGCAUCGUCAUUGACGUUACCCGCAGAAGAAGCACCGGCUAACUCCGUGCCAGCAGCCGCGGUAAUACGGAGGGUGCAAGCGUUAAUCGGAAUUACUGGGCGUAAAGCGCACGCAGGCGGUCUGUCAAGUCGGAUGUGAAAUCCCCGGGCUUAACCUGGGAACUGCAUUCGAAACUGGCAGGCUAGAGUCUUGUAGAGGGGGGUAGAAUUCCAGGUGUAGCGGUGAAAUGCGUAGAG